GCAGUGGUGGUUCAGUGGUAGAAUCCUUGCCUUCCAUGCAGGGGACCUGGGUUUGAUCCCACCCAAUGCU
rnacentral:tRNA from 1 species